GGGAGAUGAAAGUCCACCUGUGUCGUCGAAA
rnacentral:misc_RNA from 1 species